rnacentral:other from 1 species
UCUUUACGAGUUAAUGAGUUUCGGACUUAAGUAUGAUGUUGUGUUUGCAUAUAGUUCAGGUAACUGAACUUGAGUAACAAUAAGUUACUCGUUUACUUCCUAUAAUUUGAACCUUUUGGUUAGACGCCACCCAUUUUGAGUGGCGUUUUUUUCA